rnacentral:piRNA from 1 species
UAAGGACCUCCAUGUCCUCCUCUUGU